rnacentral:lncRNA from 1 species
UUCACCAAUCUAUACUCACACUUUUUGAGUAUCUUCAUAGAAAUUCAAGAUCUGUAGUCACCGACAAGUAUUACUUGCUAUAUAUAUUCAAACUCAUGCACAAAUCAAACCAUAUCAACUCAAUCAACAAAACCAUGUGUAUGAAAUUAAAAGAGAUAGGAGAGAAUUGAACAUAGUGUUGCCAAUUAAUGACAGUUUCCAACUUUAUAACUUUUGGAUGCAAAAAUGGUUACAACAAGCGACACAACUGACGCUUGAACUAGAUGCCAGACAGACCUCAAACUAGAAACAACGAUUCUGCAAAAUGAGACUCCGAGCCUCGAUGGCACCGAAAAAUUGAAACGAGCAUGGAUUCAGACCAAACGAGCAUAAACAGUAAACUCCAACCAAAAAAGAGACUCCAACUCUAUUUCUGUUGCAAUUUCCUUCUUCAAAUGAUACGGAACAAAAGAAACUGAAACGUCUUGGAUAGUUUCUCACUAUAAUAGCCAAGUCAGUCCACCCCACUCCCCUUCUGUUCGUUUUGCACAUCUGUGUGUGUAUGUUUGUGAUGGUGACGAAGGUUUUGGAGUAGGGAGAGGGCGGUGAUGGAGUUUAGAGAUAGAGGCGUGGUCGUUUCAGGGGGUCACUGGUCUGAGGGGUGGUCUGUCCGGUGAUGGUAGGCUGAUGGCUUGAGAUGUUGUGUUUUGGUUUUGUUCCAAAGAAGAAGAGGAAGCAUAGGGGUAUUCAUGGAGUUCUGCGGCUUGUUUAUUCUUAGGAAAAAGAAGGAGAGGACUCCUAGAGUUUCUAGGUUAGGUCCUGUGUAGAAAAUGACAUUAGGUCUCCUCUCAAAAUAAGAAAACGACUGUUUGGUUGAAGGAUCCUAGGUUUUUCUCGCUUUUAUUUUCAUGAAGAUGAUGAAACCCAAGGUUUUUAGACUCUUAAGUAGAUGAACGAGAAUCUGAUGGGGAUCGUCCCUUCUCUUCAAAACUGCACUGCCUUCUUUUGUGUAGGUCUAGGCUUUUG